ACCCCCUACCCUAGGCAACCACUAAUCUACUGUCUCCAUAGAUUUGCCUAUUGUAGACCUUUUAUAUUAAUGGAAUCAUAAAAUAUGUAGCUUUUUGCGUCUGGCUUCUUUCAUUUACACAACGUUUUCAAGGUUCAUCCAGAUUGUAGUAGGUAUCAGUGCUUCCUUUCCUUUUCUUGCUGAAGAACAUUCCAUUGUAUGGCUAGACCACACUUGUCCACUCAUCAGCUGGUGGGCAUUUGGGUUGCUUCUACUUUUUGGUUAUUAUGGAUAAUGCCCCUAUUAUCAGUAAGUGUACUAAUUUUUGUUUGGACGUGUGUUUUCAUUUCUCUUGGUUAUAAACCCAAGAGUGGAAUUGCUGCGUUGUGUGGUAGCUCUGCAUGUAACUGAGGAACUGUCAGACUGUUUUCCAAAGUGGCUGCCCAUUUUGCAUUCCCCCUGCCGGGUGUGAGGGUUCCAGUCUCUCCACCUCCUCGCCGACGCUUGUUCACACCUGCUGUCUAUCUUUUUGAUUAUCGCCAUGCUAGUGGGUGUGUAGUAGUAUGUUGUGAUUUUGAUUUGCAUUUCUCUGAUGGCUUGUGAUGCUUAUUGUAAUAGCUUAUUGGCUAUUUGUACGUCUUCUUUGGAGAACUGUCUAUUCAGUUCCUUUGCCCAUUUUUAUUGGAUUAUUUGUGGCUUUUUUUAAAAAAAUCGGCACCUGAGCUAACAACUGUUGCCACUCUUUUUUUUUCUUCUGCUUUUUCUCCCCAAAUCCCCUCAGUACAUAGUUGCAUAUUUUAGUUGUGGGUCCUUCAAGUUGUGGCAUGUGGGAUGCCACCUCAGCAUGGCCUGAUGAGCAAUGUCAUGUCCGUGACCAGGAUCCAAACUGGUGAAACCCUGGGCUGCCAAAGCAGAGCGCGCGAACUUAACCCCGGAUUAUUUGUGUUAUUGUUGAGUUGUAAUAGAUUUUUUUCUGUUCUAGAUACAAGUCCCUUAUCAGAUAUAUGAUUGCAAAAAAAUCUCUCCUAUUUUGUGGGUUCUCUUUCAAUUUCUUCAAGGUGUAGAUGUAGAUACAUUUUGUAAGGUAUUCUUUUUUUUUUUUUUUUUAUUGUCAGGACUUCAGCGCUGAAUUCAGUGAGGAGACGAAUUCAGCCCAGCAUGCCUCCAACGUUCUUAGAGCACUUGGCGAUUUGUAAAUUGUUUCCGUGCAUGUAAUGUGAUUGAACCCCCACCACAGCGCUGGGAGGGAGGCGACCCCUCCGCCUGGUCUCCACUCAGAGAUAGCAGGUGACUUUCCUGUUGUCACUCUCAUGGUCUUUGGUGACCUCAAAUGCCAGCAGGCCUUCCAAUCCAGAGGCCAGGGUCUUCCUACUAAAGGUUUUAAACUCAGGACCGCCACUAUCCGCCAAGCAGGACGUAUGGAUGUGGUCGAUUUACCCAGCAGCCCUGCCCCCAGGUAAGACAAAAU
rnacentral:lncRNA from 1 species